AUCACCUGCAGGCGGCCCGGGGGCCUGGGGCGGCUGCCAGCUGCCCUCCUGGAACGCGGCUCCUGCAGGACUUCCCGAAGGCUGCUCUCCGCCGGCUCCAGGAGCUUCCUGGGGCAAACCCGGAGCAGGUUAGAGGAAAAAGCGCCCUACCCUAGACCCUCGUUUGCACCAAAAGUUCUCCCUCCGAGCCAUUGCAAGAAGCUCCACCUUCCCACAUCAAUUCACAUCAUGACCACUCCGUUUCAUAAUCCGCGGCAGCCUGAGUUCUUACAGGGGUGGAGCCCCCAGCUGAAAUCACAACCAUCGCAUGGGGCAGGAUGUCAGGGAAGUUUCCAGAAAUCCCCGGUCAGAGCCUUUCUGCUGGAGUAACCAAAGUUAACACCGCUGAAUUACAAUCGCCGGUGACUGCACGACUGAAGCAUUUCCUUUAUACCUUCUCCCGCUCCCCUACCCCUCCCACCUUCUGUGGGGUUCAGUCAACAAGCCCUCCCCCAGGAGGCCUGAGUGGGCCUGGGCCCUGCAGCCAUCGCUCCAGCUGCAAACUGAUGAGGAAGCCCGACCCACGAGGCCGAAUUGUUUACAUCACACCCACUGAGGCUUCCUGUCUUAAAUUAAUGGGAACACAAAUAAGACAGGAAAAGAGUGUUUGCUUUUCUUAAAGCAGGGGAGGGGGGCUGGCAGCGGGAGGGGGAGUCACCCCACAUUUCAUUGCUUUUCAAAACGUCAGCUGUAUUCUCUUCCAUUUUUCCACUCCUGACACUUGUUGAAAAGUAAAAGCGUCGCUGGUGCCAAACCUCAAGCCUUUAUGGAACGUCUGCUCAAAACACAUUUCACCUGGCUUCAAAAGGCAUCCAGGGUGGAGCUCCCAGGAACCUGAGCUAGAGGAAUGGAGAGCUCCUGAGGUUGAUGGCACCAAUCUCAGUGCAAACAAACUCACUCAAGCCCUGGGCCUCCCUCCCGGGACUUGCACAGGCAGGCACACACUCCACUCCUUGGGGUUCAUGUUAGAGUCACACCCCAGUCCCACUCCACCCCUCUGGCUCUAAGCUCUGGUUGUGGGCAUCCAGCAGCCCCUAAAAGUAAAUGAGCUUUGCAACGGACAGAUCUGGUGGAAUUCGAAGCAAUUAAUUAUAAUGGAGGAGGCAAAAGAAAGCUUCAAUUCCAGUACCAUUACUGCCACCGGAAUGGGUAAUUAAAGCCCAGGAGGGGCCAACCCAUGUCAAGCCUGGGCUGGAAAUCUGCCCACUCUCAGAAGCAGCCCCAGAGCACAUAGUAAAUAAUUAUCAUCAUUACCAGUCCUGGAAUUACCCCUAGUUGCUUCAUUCAGGUCGGCACAACAGCCAACCCAGAAACAGGCAAGGAGUGUCAGGUCAUGGUAUUCCUCCUUCGGAAGAACCAAAAGGAAACAGAACCCCAGGAUAAGAUUUAUUUCAAGAAGUUUUGGGUACUGCAACCAACAAUACCUCAUGGAGUUUAGGAGAACACUACAUGUGCCCAGUGAGAACAAACUUUGUAGACCAGUCCUCCAAACAUCGCAAUUCCUGGGUCAAAGCAAAUUAGGCUGAUGAUUUCAGAAAAAAUCAAGGGUAUUAGAACUCUCUAACACAAAGUGUCUGGCUUACACAUAUUAUAAGGGUCUCAGUGAAUGUUGGCUCCACCCCCUUCCCUUUUCCCACUCUUCUGCCAGGAAGUGGCAGUCUUUCAUUAGCAUCCUAUACGUUUUAUGGGAAUUAAGUUCAAAUUGAAUAAUUUUCUAAUAAUAAUUAGAGAAGUA